GUUGAUGCCAUCCAUCAUCGGCUUUGGGAGCUUUCUCUAGUUGCGGCAAUCGAGGCCUACUGUUCAUUGUGGUGUUCGGGGUUAUUACAUUCAAUAGUUAUACCUGACACACCUGUAAAGCCUAAUUUUCAUGAAAUGUUGUCUUCAACCCAAAGCAAAGGAUUGAUGCAAAGGAGCCUUCUCUAGUACGGUGUUUUCUGGGAGUUUCCUGUUGUUCCAGUGGUUAAGAAUCCACCUUGCAAAGCAGAUCCCUGGUUGCAGAUCGAAGACCCCACGUGCCACAGAGCAUCUAAGCCCACCUGCUGAAACUACUGGGCCCACACACUGCAACUGGAAGACUCCACAUGAUGCAGCUAGGACACAACAUGGCCAAAUAGAUAAAUACUUUUU